rnacentral:rRNA from 1 species
AACGAACGCUGGCGGCAGGCUUAACACAUGCAAGUCGAACGCAUCCUUCGGGGUGAGUGGCAGACGGGUGAGUAACGCGUGGGAACGUGCCCUUCAGUUCGGGAUAACCCAGGGAAACUUGGGCUAAUACCGGAUACGUGCGAGAGCAGAAAGAUUUAUCGCUGAAGGAUCGGCCCGCGUCUGAUUAGCUAGUUGGUGGGGUAAUGGCCCACCAAGGCGAAGAUCAGUAGCUGGUCUGAGAGGAUGAUCAGCCACAUUGGGACUGAGACACGGCCCAAACUCCUACGGGAGGCAGCAGUGGGGAAUAUUGGACAAUGGGCGCAAGCCUGAUCCAGCCAUGCCGCGUGAGUGAUGAAGGCCUUAGGGUUGUAGAGCUCUUUCGUCCGGGACGAUAAUGACGGUACCGGAAGAAGAAGCCCCGGCUAACUUCGUGCCAGCAGCCGCCGUAA